rnacentral:rRNA from 1 species
GCUCAUCACAUCCUGGAGGUGAAGUAGCUUCCAAGGGUUGGGCUGUUCGCCCAUUAAAGUGGUACGUGAGCUGGGUUCAAACCGUCGUGAGACAGGUUGGUCCCUAUCUACCGCAGGCGUAGAGUCUUGAGAGGGGUCGUCCUCAGUACGAGAGGACCAGGAUGAACUGACCUCUGGUCUACCAGCUGUUCUGCCAAGAGCAUCGCUGGGUAGCUAAGUCGGGAACUGAUAAGCGCUGAAAGCAUCUAAGCGCGAAGCAGGCCUCAAGAUUAGGACUCAUAGAUUCCUCAGAGAUUAUGAGGUUGAUAGGCUGCAGGUGUAAGGCGGGUAACCGCUUAAGCCGAGCAGUACUAAUAAAUCAUCAGCCUUCUUG